UAAAGGCAAUCGAGUCAAAUAUUGGUGCUAAUUUCACUAAAGUUUUUAACGGUUUAAACCUAAAAGUUUAUUCAAAAAGGUCACUCAAAAAUGUUAAUUAUGCAAAUGUAGAAAAUAAUGAAGAAAAGGUUCAAGAAAGUGAAUCUGAUUACACUAAUGAAAGCUAAGAUGAGGACAGUGAAAAUUUUGAUUUAGAUGAAAAACGAGAUCUUAGUUCCAGUAUUUUUAUUUUACUCAAACUUACAAAAACAUUGUUACAUUUAUUUAAAAUUAGAAAAGUAUUUUUUCCUUAAACAAGUUCAGUUUUACCAAUACAAUAUCUUUUAGAAUCAAAACCAAAAAAGUGGACUGUAAAGCAGGUUGAAGCUUUGAAUCGUUACUUUGGGGAUUUUAUCUGCGGAAGAAUUUCCGAUUGCCCUACUCGAAAAGAAAUAGAAGGUUUUCGAAUAAAAAAUGCAAUUGAUUUUCCUUACUCAAAAAUCCGCUCUAAAUUAGUCAAUGAUCGCGAGAAAAACAGACAAUAGAUAAG